UGUUCAUCUCUACACUACUUUUGGAGGAAAUGAUACACGUAUUUGAGAUAUUCCGCAGUAUUUCUCGUCUUUAGGACCCAGCAGAGACAUCAAACCGGAGUCGCGUCCAGUCUUGUUGAAGGAAGUUGCUAGUUUUCCCAAGAAGUACGGAAUCUGAGCAUUAUAUUAUUAUUGGUUAUUAUUCGCCGCUAGAGGGCGCUGAAUGGAUCGCAACGUGAGAAAGUUAUCCUGGACGAGCAGAGCAGAAGCUUGCUACAUCGUCUUUUAUCAGAAGAGGAUUCAUGAUCCAUUUCAAGGUUGCUCUGGACAGAGCGAGCUUUAAUCCUCGAUAAUCUUGUUGAGAAAGGUACUCCUGGAGAUGACCACUUCCAGCCUUCCAGUUAUCUUUUCUCCAUUGCUAAACUGGAUUGUUCAGGACAGGUAUUUUAUACCCACACACCAAAGAAACUUUUUGAAGUUUGGGGAGAUGCAUCACUGCGGACCCUCUCGUAUUGCAAAAAAAGAAGAGCCUUGGAUCUACCAGUUCAAGCAAACAUUUAAUCUGACAGCCUUGGAGAUCCCACUUUGGAGAUGUCGCUUUAACAACUCAGCCAGCUAUCAUUUCUUCACUGCCAUACAGAUUGUGCAGCAAGAUGGUUCGGCCCUCAUACCAGGAGGCAAAACAAGAAUUUGUUGAUUUGCGACUUCUAGGUGCAUUAUUUAUGACAAUAAAUGUUGGACAUUAUUUAAUUCA